rnacentral:rRNA from 1 species
GACGGAGGCCCCGAGCGUUGUUCGGAAUUACUGGGCUUAAAGCGCGUGUAGGCGGGUCGGUAAGUGCCUUGUGAAAGCCCCGGGCUCAACCCGGGAAUGGCUUGGCAUACUGCCGGUCUUGAGGCAGGUAUGAGUCGCUGGAACCUUAGGUGUAGCGGUGAAAUGCGUAGAUAUCUAAGGGAACGCCGGUGGCGAAAGCGGGCGACUGGGCCUGUCCUGACGCUGAGACGCGAAAGCGUAGGGAGCAAACGGG